rnacentral:rRNA from 1 species
CCCUUAGAUGUCCGGGGCCGCACGCGCGCUACACUGAAGGAAUCAGCGUGGCUUUCUCCCUGACCCGAAAGGGUUGGGAAACCCGUUGAAUCUCCUUCGUGAUAGGGAUUGGGGCUUGAAAUUGUUCCCCAUGAACGAGGAAUUCCCAGUAAGCGCGAGUCAUAAGCUCGCGUUGAUUACGUCCCUGCCCUUUGUACACACCGCCCGUCGCUACUACCGAUUGAACGGUUUAGUGAGGGCCUCGGAUUGGUCUCGGACCGCUCUUUACCGGGCGGCGCCGUUGGUCGAGAAGACGCUCGAACUUGAUCGUUUAGAGGAAGUAAAAGUCGUAACA